rnacentral:rRNA from 1 species
GACGAACGCUGGCGGCGUGCUUAACACAUGCAAGUCGAACGGUGAAGCGCCUUCCUUUUUGGUGGGUGUGGAUGAGUGGCGAACGGGUGAGUAACACGUGAGUAACCUGCCCCCUUCUUCUGGAUAACCGCAUGAAAGUGUGGCUAAUACGGGAUAUUCUGGGUCUGUCGCAUGAUGGGUCUGGGAAAGAUAUUGUUUCGGUGGGGGAUGGGCUCGCGGCCUAUCAGCUUGUUGGUGGGGUGAUGGCCUACCAAGGCGGUGACGGGUAGCCGGCCUGAGAGGGUGGACGGUCACACUGGGACUGAGACACGGCCCAGACUCCUAAGGGAGACAGCAGUGGGGAAUAUUGCACAAUGGGCGCAAGACUGAUGCAGCGACGCCGCGUGAGGGAUGGAGGCCUUCGGGUUGUGAACCUCUUUCGCCAGUGAAGCAGGCCUGCCUCGUUUGUGGGUGGGUUGACGGUAGCUGGAUAAGAAGCGCCGGCUAACUACGUG